GACGAACGCUGGCGGCGUGCUUAACACAUGCAAGUCGAACGGAAAGGCCCUGCUUUUGUGGGGUGCUCGAGUGGCGAACGGGUGAGUAACACGUGAGUAACCUGCCCUUGACUUUGGGAUAACUUCAGGAAACUGGGGCUAAUACCGGAUAGGAGCUCCUGCUGCAUGGUGGGGGUUGGAAAGUUUCGGCGGUUGGGGAUGGACUCGCGGCUUAUCAGCUUGUUGGUGGGGUAGUGGCUUACCAAGGCUUUGACGGGUAGCCGGCCUGAGAGGGUGACCGGCCACAUUGGGACUGAGAUACGGCCCAGACUCCUACGGGAGGCAGCAGUGGGGAAUAUUGCACAAUGGGCGGAAGCCUGAUGCAGCAACGCCGCGUGCGGGAUGACGGCCUUCAGGUUGUAAACCGCUUUCGCCUGUGACGAAGCGUGAGUGACGGUAAUGGGUAAAGAAGCACCGGCUAACUACG
rnacentral:rRNA from 1 species